ACCACUGAGCCAUCUCUCCAGCCCUAAAUAAAUAUUUUUAAUGUUAAAAAAAAGAAUGUUGGGCUGGAGAGAUGGCUUAGCGGU
rfam:Rattus norvegicus chromosome 19, whole genome shotgun sequence.